rnacentral:rRNA from 1 species
UACGUAGGGCGCAAGCGUUAUCCGGAAUUAUUGGGCGUAAAGAGCUCGUAGGCGGUUUGUCGCGUCUGCUGUGAAAACUCGGGGCUCAACUCCGGUUCUGCAGUGGGUACGGGCAGACUAGAGUGCAGUAGGGGAGACUGGAAUUCCUGGUGUAGCGGUGAAAUGCGCAGAUAUCAGGAGGAACACCGAUGGCGAAGGCAGGUCUCUGGGCUGUUGCUGACGCUGAGGCGCGACAGCGUGGGGAGCAAACAGG